rnacentral:rRNA from 1 species
GAUGAACGCUGGCGGCGUGCUUAACACAUGCAAGUCGAACGAAGCACUCUAUUUGAUUUUCUUCGGAAAUGAAGAUUUUGUGACUGAGUGGCGGACGGGUGAGUAACGCGUGGGUAACCUGCCUCAUACAGGGGGAUAACAGUUGGAAACGACUGCUAAUACCGCAUAAGCGCACAGGAUUGCAUGAUCCGGUGUGAAAAACUCCGGUGGUAUGGGAUGGACCCGCGUCUGAUUAGCCAGUUGGCAGGGUAACGGCCUACCAAAGCGACGAUCAGUAGCCGACCUGAGAGGGUGACCGGCCACAUUGGGACUGAGACACGGCCCAAACUCCUACGGGAGGCAGCAGUGGGGAAUAUUGCACAAUGGGGGAAACCCUGAUGCAGCGACGCCGCGUGAGCGAAGAAGUAUUUCGGUAUGUAAAGCU